GUGUCAGCCGCCGCGGUAAUACGUAGGGUGCGAGCGUUAAUCGGAAUUACUGGGCGUAAAGCGUGCGCAGGCGGUCUCGUAAGACAGGUGUGAAAUCCCCGGGCUUAACCUGGGAACUGCGCUUGUGACUGCGAGGCUGGAGUGCGGAAGAGGGAGGUGGAAUUCCACGUGUAGCAGUGAAAUGCGUAGAGAUGUGGAGGAACACCGAUGGCGAAGGCAGCCUCCUGGUCCAGCACUGACGCUCAUGCACGAAAGCGUGGGGAGCAAACAGGAUUAGAUACCCUAGUAGUCC
rnacentral:rRNA from 1 species